CGCCCGCCGCGCGCGGCGGGCGGGGCGGGGGCACGGGGGGCCUACGGGAGGCAGCAGUGGGGAAUGUAGGGUGAUCAGGGCGAGCCUGAUCAGCAUGCCGCGUGAGUGAUGAAGGCCUUAGGGUUGUAAAGCUCUUUUACCCGAGAUGAUAAUGACAGUAUCGGGAGAAUAAGCUCCGGCUAACUCCGUGCCAGCAGCCGCGGUAAU
rnacentral:rRNA from 1 species